GGGUGGAUUCCUUUCAUUUUGCCACAGAACAGGAAGAGCUCCAUGUGGAAGACUGUCAGCUGCUUUCGGGAAGGAUGGAGUUCUACACAUUCUCUCUCCGUGUGUGCAUUGCUCCUGAAUGUUUUAGAGGUUCUCUGGAAGACUAAGGGCACUUCUAGAAAAAAGCAGCAGCUGCAGAGGAGCCUAGACACUUUACCAGGAAGAAAAGCAAACAUUUCCCAGUCCCGACUACACUCAAGCUUCGCCCAGGAAGAUUUUUCACACUGAUAAUUAGAAUCGACAUAUUUAUGGGGCUCUAUUUUUGCGUGGACCAUCCGGUCUGAGGCCAGUAUUCCUUUUGAAGUUGGGAGAAUUGGAACCUUGGAGGAACUGAACAGUUCCCAGAGAGCAGAGCCUCAGGGAAUAAAACUUUAGACAGGCCUUAAGAUCAUUAGUGCUCGUUUUCCUUCACGCACAGAUAUGUCUCUGGAAAACCUUUGGUGGCCAAAGUCAUUAAUGAUCACAUAUAAAACCCUAAUUAAUCCAAAUGGGAAUCCAGUUCUUGACAAGCUGAUUUCAUCUCCAUUAGAUUUGUGGUUUGCAGAACCUGGGACCACUUUGCCCCAUAACAAAAAGCAGUCACACUCCACCCUGUUGAAGUCUGAGUCACUCGAGCUUCGAGUUCCCGGGUGAUUUUGCGUGAGUCAUUGUUCCACAUGAGGAUUUCUAAUUCAGUCAACAAAAAGCACUCAAGUAUUCAUCUUUUGCUACCAAUUACUCAGUUUUGAAAUGACAUGUACCCGCAGUAUUCACUGGAUCCGGACCUCUACAAAACGCACCUUAGAACAAUUUGUUCUCUUAAAUGAGUAGCUAGAAAAGUUCCAUUAUGCCAAGCACAAUGUAAUUGUUGCCCUGGCAGACAGCUGCCCAGGAAAGGCACUCUGGACUGUCGUUUGAUACUUGAGAGUCGGCUCCUGUAGGAGGACAGGUGCAUUUAGAACACCACUGAGGGAUGGAUGGAAACAAAGAAGGGCAUCGAGUGAACUCUAUGAUUUAAGAUCAUUAAUUAAAGCUCUCUAAACUUCCAUUUCUUCAUCUGUAAAGUGAAGAUGAUAGUGUUGCCUGCCCAUCUUUCAGGAUGAUUAUGAAAAUGUGUUCAAGUUAAUAAAUGUGUAAGCAGUACGUACUAAGCCCAACGCUGUAACAGUUAUCUCUGGAAAUAUGAUGGUACACUAGUGUUACUUCUUGAUUCAAUGGUCAUUUAAUGGAAAAAUAAAAUAACUUAGAUAACUUGUUAAAAUCCUUACAAAUAUAAAACAGAGGCAGUAGUAAUGGGAGUAAACUCAGAGAGUCAACAUUCGGAGGGAACAGAAAGAUUCUGCAGCCUAAUCCUUUCAUUUUUUAAAACUUUUUCUAAUGUUUAUUUAUUUUUGAGAGAGGUAAAUGAAAGUGCGAGCAGGGGAGAGGCAGAGAG